GCUAAUGAGCCCCUCUAUCUAAUUUUUCAUUUUUAAACGUGAACUUCUGGGCCACCCUGUAUAUAUGUACGUGACUUCGACGUCAAUCAAAACAAGUGUUUUGAUAAACAGCUCAGGAUACAGAUUCGAGAAUAAGUGUUUACUUCUUAAUGCGCUUUCAACAUGUGGAAAAUUCUAUUACCAAAACUCGGGACCUAUAAAAAGGGGGCGACAUACGUCUACAACUGGUUCAGUUUGAGCUUCUGGAGAAGUAAACUUGGAGCGAUAACCUGCAAGUAGUUGCAACAUUCUACAGACUACAAGAGACCUGUGAUUUUGGAAAAUCAGCUUGAUGUGUGUAACCUUAGAGAAUAAUCCUAUGGAACCUGUCAUUAGUGUUUCACUCUAAAUUUUUGAAGCUUGAUACUUAUUAAGGACAAAGUGUACAAAAUAUUUUAAAGAUGAUAUAAAGGAAAAUAAUCACUUACUUGUAAGCAAGGCCUCCGUGUUUGCUCUGGCCUCCUGCUGCAUGGCUUGCUGUGUCACCUGGGCAAUGGAUCCAUUGGUCAACUGUUGCAGUUGCAGCUGUGUGGCAUCCAGCUCAUGUUGUAAAUUGCACACCUGGUUAUGCAAUGAUGCAUUUUCAGAUUCCUUACUGGUCAACAUAGUUUUAGUAAACUCCAAUUGCUCUUGUAAAUUAUUAUUUUCAUCACAAAUUGAUGACUUUAUAGUAUUUAAUUCUGUAAUAAUCUUCUCUUUUGAUGUAACUUUUUCUGUUAUUAGCAAAUAUUUACUUUGAAUAGAUUUAAGCUCAUUUUCCAAUUGACUGAUUUGCUGUUUAUAAUAUUUGUUAUUAUUAAUUGCCAAUGUGUACUCAUUUUCAAGUUGAGUAAACUUUGUUUGCAGAUCA